rnacentral:rRNA from 1 species
GACGUAGGGCGCGAGCGUUGUCCGGAUUUAUUGGGCGUAAAGAGCUCGUAGGCGGCUUGUCGCGUCGACUGUGAAAACCCGCGGCUCAACCGUGUGGCUUGCAGUUGAUACGGGCAGGCUAGAGUUCGGUAGGGGAGACUGGAAUUCCUGGUGUAGCGGUGAAAUGCGCAGAUAUCAGGAGGAACACCGGUGGCGAAGGCGGAUCUCUGGGCCGAUACUGACGCUGAGGAGCGAAAGCGUGGGGGAGCGAACAGG